GCCGACAGCCAGCUCUCUGCAAUUCUCACAUGGUCGCCCACUGAAGCCAAGCAGGGCUGCACCUGUUUAGUACCUGGAUGGGAGACCACGGGGGAAAGCUAGGUUGCUGCUGAAA
ensembl:rRNA 5S_rRNA 5S ribosomal RNA